rnacentral:rRNA from 1 species
AGAGCGAACGCUGGCGGCAGGCCUAACACAUGCAAGUCGAGCGCCCCGCAAGGGGAGCGGCAGACGGGAGAGUAACACGUGGGAACGUACCCUUCAGUUCGGAACAACCCAGGGAAACUUGGGCUAAUACCGAAUAAGCCCUUACGGGGAAAGAUUUAUCGCCGAAGGAUCGGCCCGCGUCUGAUUAGCUAGUUGGUGGGGUAACGGCCCACCAAGGCGACGAUCAGUAGCUGGUCUGAGAGGAUGAUCAGCCUCAUUGGGACUGAGACACGGCCCAAACUCCUACGGGAGGCAGCAGUGGGGAAUAUUGGACAAUGGGCGCAAGCCUGAUCCAGCCAUGCCGCGUGGGUGAUGAAGGCCCUAGGGUUGUAAAGCCCUUUCGGCGGGGAAGAUAAUGACGGUACCCGCAGAAGAAGCCCCGGCUAACUUCGUGCCAGCAGCCGC